ensembl:lncRNA
AACGGGAAUGUUCUUUUUCUACUUUUGUUCCUAACUCUGACUCGACUCUACUCGACUCUCCUAGCAUGAAGCAGGAAGAAACAUCUGCCAUAUCAAGCAUACCUAUGAUUCCACACCCUCAAAUGGCUCCUGAGUUGGUCAAUCUUCUAUAAACAGAAGUCUAGGCAAAGAGUGGGAUUCCUGAGGAAUUGCUUUCCGGUCACCUCUGAUCUGACAAAUCCAUGAUCGGCAAAAUGGAGCAAAGCAACAGGGGUUAAAGAGGGCUGCAGUCCCCUGUUUGGAGAGAGGAAUCAGCACCCCUGAAAGAAGUGCUGACAAUUUGUUCUUCCUGGCUCUUCUCUUCAUCAUCCCGAGUCAUCAUCACCACCAUUCCUUGGUCCUUCAAAAGUUCCUGGUCUUUCCUGCUUGGUGUCCAUUUUGUCACACUUUAUCAAGAGGUCCUGAGGUGGGAAAAACCCUGAAAGCUGACUUAGGGACCUGUGUUCCAGUCCUCGCCCUGCUCUGGAGUUAAAGUGUAAGUUUCAGUAAAUCCCUCGACCGCUCCACAUUAUUUAUUUACUUAUUUAUU